UGAUAAAGUGAGAACCACACCCCAGA
rnacentral:piRNA from 1 species